rnacentral:lncRNA from 1 species
GACUUGAUUUGCACACUGAUAUUCUCAGUAAUUGUGCUUUGGACAACAAUAACGAUGCUCCGUAACAUUCUGGAGGUUUUGAUGGAGAGUACGCCUAGAGAGAUUGAUGCCACUAGGCUCGAGAGUGGACUUCGCGAGAUGGAUGAAGUGAUUGCAGUCCAUGAAUUGCACAUCUGGGCUAUAACGGUUGGAAAGGUGCUAUUAGCCUGCCAUGUCAAAAUAAAGCGUGACGCCAAUGCGGAUAUGGUCCUGGACAAGGUCGUGGACUACAUCAGAAGAGAGUACAAGAUAAGUCACGUCACCAUUCAAAUAGAAAGAGAGUAGAUUUCGGAAGGUGAAUGAUUUAGUUAUGGCAUUGUAUAUGGAUGGUAGCGUCAAUUUGGCUUCUAAGUUGUUUAGAUAUUGUCGUUUGGGCCUUUUUCUCGUAGCUGGGCCUUUGAGGCCCUUCAGGAGUAUGAUGUAAUGUUCGCUUCUCCUUUGUUGGAAUCUUAUGUUUAAGAGCUCUUUUAUCUAAUAAUACCAGUUUCUCCAACAAAAAGAUUAAAAAAAAAAAAGAAAAAAAAAGAAAAAGAAAACACUGGAAAAGUCGGGAAACAACUUCUCAAGAACAAUUUUCCUUCAAAUAAGUGGACCGUAUAUGUAGAUGAAGAGAGUGCAAAUCCCGUAGACAGGCGACAUGGCAACAACAUACGGGAUGCCAAACACCCCGAAGGGUCCCUAUGGAGAAGCCAUUCCUCGCUUGUGGGCUCGUAGCUCGAUUUUGCUUGAAGCAAGAGGCAACUGGAACAGGGAAAAAGAAAGUGAAAGGUAUUCAAGGCCCAGGAAAGCGACAAAUGGGUCGUGUUGGGAGCCCAUUUGGCGUCGAAUUCGGGAUUGCACGUGAGCACAGUUGUACUUGUUAGGUCACAUGUCAUUUUAUAUUAGACCGAUAACCGUCUUAAUACGACGAUUUACCCCGAGCCAUCACAAAUUGCGUACAAAACUACGGUAUUUUGCCCGCACCCGACAGCCGCAAGGGAGCAAUUAUGUAGGUUCUAUCGUGGGAAUGGCCUGAGCCAUUGGGGCCUCUAGAAAAGAGAUCCAACUCAACAUUUCUCCAAAUUGAACUUCAGGGCCUCCGUUCAAUUCGUGAUGAUCAUGUGAUUUGUAAAAGUUGCAUUAUUAAUUUUUUUUUUGUAAAACAGAAUUAGCAUCACGUUUAUAUGUUGUAUAAUCUGUAUAAAAACAUAUUAUUGACGCCUAAAUUUUUCCCUUUACAUAGAAAAUUAGGGAUUAGUUUCUAAAAAAUAGAAAAAUAAAAUGAAUAAUUUUCAUUAAAAUGCAUCGUGUAUGUUUUCAUUAAAAUGCAUUGCACAUAGACAUUAGGACUAUUUACAUUACUAUCACUAAUUAUUAAAACUAAAAAAAAUCAAUAAAAAAUCAAAAAUUUAGAAAACGGGACCGGGCUAGGCCGGGUCCUUUUCCGUUCUUCUCUCCCUUGUAUCUCUUUUUGCUUGGGCCCAAGCCCAACCUCAUUCCUUUCUCUAGGCCUAGCCAACACAUGGGUUUUCUUCCUCCAUACGCCAUCACGCCUUUGCAAGGAAAAGAGUACAACAAGUCAGAAAGAGGCAAAGGAUCACGAGCUACGGAUGGCGACGUGAUCUGCGGGUCGGGGUUAGGCCGGCUAGGGAGCUGGUGGUGGCAGAAGCCAAGCACGCAGGUUGCUAGUCGUUAAAAGGAGAGAGAGAGAGAGAGAGAGAGAGAGAGAGAGAGAGAGAGAGAGAGAGAGAGGGUUUUUUGGCUGAGAGAGAAAGAGAGGUGUUUUUUUGGCCGAGAGAGGGAGCGACAUAGAGAGGGUGAGCUUGAGAGAGAGAGAGAGAGAGAGAAAGAGAGCGAGCUCAUGAGAGUCCUGGAUCAUCGCCAGAGGCCCACCGUUCGUCGUAGCUAUUGAAUGAGUCAAUUUAUUUUUGAUUUGUUUUUCAUGUGUUAAUAGUCUAUUAAGCACUCAUAUUAUGUGGGUUUAUUGUUGUACUUGUUAAGUUAGUGGGCUGUGGUAGUUACCUAUUGGUGUAAAGCCUAUAUAAAGGCUAUAGUGUCAGUUUUAUAAAAGUUUUUCUGCAAACAAUUUUUCUUCCUUCGAGUAUAUCUUUCAAUCUUCUAUUUUCAACAGUGGUAUCAGAGCAAGGUUAGGAAGAAAAGUGUGUGUUUGAGUGUUGUAAAAAAGCAGUAAUGGCCUCAGAAACAUUUGUACAACCAGCUAUUCCACACUUUAAUGGUCACUAUGAUCAUUGGAGCAUGCUAAUGGAGAAUUUUCUCAAGUCCAAGGAGUAUUGGGAUGUUGUUUCCUUGGGAGUUGCCGAACCUGAAGAAGAAGCUGUGUUAACAGCAGUGCAAAGAACAGCUUUGGAUGCAUCAAAAUUGAAGGAUCUCAAGGCCAAAAACUACCUUUUCCAAGCAAUUGACAGAUCCAUUUUGGAGACAAUUCUUUACAAGGAUACCUCCAAGCAAAUAUAGGAUUCUGUGAAGAGAAACUAUCAAGGCUCAGCAAGAGCAAAGAGGCAGCAGCUUCAAACGCUUCGUUCGGAGUUCGAAAUGCUACGAAUGAAGUCAUGAGAGACAAUCACUGAUUUCUUCUCUCGGACAAUGGCAAUAAUUAAUAAGAUACGGAUUCAUGGCAACAAGACAGAGGAUGUCACCAUCGUUGAAAAGAUUCUUCGAUCUUUGACACCAAAGUUCAACUUUGUUGUUUGUUCUGUAGAAGAAGCCAAGGAUAUUGAAGAACUUUCCAUUGAUGAGUUGCAAGGAUCCUUGUUAGUUCACGAACAAAAACUCUUACAGCAAGAGACGGAAGAGCAAGCUUUGAAGGCCUCAACUAGAGAUCAUUCUUUAUCAGUAGCAAGGGUGAAUAGAGGAAGAGGUAGAGGAAGAGGGAACAACGAUCGCAGCAGCUUCAGCUUUGAUCAAAAGUCUGAAAGCCAUUCCUAUCGUGAUUUCCAAGGGAGAGGAAGAAGUCGUGGAGGACGACAUUCAACUUAUUUUAGGCCAAGGUCAGUAGACAAAUCCAAAGUGGAGUGUUUUAGAUGCCACAAGUAUGGACAUUACAAAUUUGAAUGUUGAACUAAUUUGAAUAGACAAAGUAUGAAAAGAACUAACUUUGCUGAAAAAGAAGAAGAAAUAUCUCUUUUGAUGGUGUGUUAUGAGAAGGAAGAAACUCAACCAAACAUGUGGUAUCUCGACACUGGUUGUAGCAAUCACAUGUGUGGAGACAAGAAGAUGUUUUAUGAUCUAGACGAAUCGUACCACAAUACCGUGAAGUUUGGUGGCAGUUCUAUUAUGUCGGUGAUGGGGAAAGGAAUGGUGGCAAUUCAUCCAAAAGGGACUUUGGUACAAAUCAUCUCAAAUGUAUUGUAUGUCCAUAAAUUGAAGACUAAUCUGUUAAGUGUUGGUCAGCUGCAAGAGAAGGGAUAUGAAAUCUCUAUUCAAGGUGGGAUUUGCAUAAUCCAAGAUGAGAAGUUGGGUUUAAUUGCUGAAGUCAAAAUGAUGGCAAUCGGAUAUUUCCACUGUAUCUCCACAACACUACAAAUUCAUGUUUCUUUGCAAGAUUGAAGGAGUAAGCUUGGCUAUGGCAUUUUCUCUAUGGGCAUCUCAAUUUCGGUGGGUUGCGAACACUACAUAAAAAAGAGAUGCUGGAGGGUCUUCCUCAAAUCUCCGCUCCUUUGGAAAUUUGUGAAAAUUGUGUUGUUAGCAAGCAACAUCGUGCUCAAUUUCCACAAAGAAAAUCAUGGAGAGCAAAAAUCCCAUUGGCAUUGGUCCAUUUCGGAUAUUGCGGACCAAUAUCUCCAAUUUCCAAUUGAGGUAAACUGUAUAUCAUUACCUUCAUUGAUGAUUUUAGCUGAAAGAUUUGGGUGUAUUUCUUGCAAGAAAAAUCUAAAGCUUUUGCAGCUUUCAAGAACCUCAAAGCACUUGCUGAAAAAGAUAGAAGAAAUCAAAUAAAGGUCCUUCACACGGAUCGUGGUGGAGAGUACAACUCACUUGAGUUUAUAGAUUUUUGUGUAAAGCAUGGCAUCAAGAGACAACUUACAGCAACCUAUACACCACAACAAAAUGGUGUAUGUGAGAGGAAGAAUUAUACCAUUCUGAAUAUGGUGUGAAGUUAAGGGGAAGUGGAAUUCCAAAAAGUUUCUGGCUUGAAGCAGUCAAUUGGAGCAUUCAUAUUUUAAAUAGAAGUCCCACUCUAGCUAUUCAAAAUAUGACACUAGAAGAAGCUGGGAGUGGCCAAAGACCUAUAGUAGAUCACUUUAGAAUUUUUGGGUGUAUUGCCUACGCCUAUGUUCCUGACCAGAAGAGGAAGAAGCUAGAUGACAAGGGAGUCAAAUGUGUUUUUCUUGGCAUUAGUGAUCAAUCAAAAGCCUAUAAACUUUAUGAUCCUAUGACCAAAAAAUAAUUAUCAACCAUGAUGUGAUUUUUGAUGAAGAACAAACUUGGCCAUGGGAUGAGUAAGGUGUUGGUAAGCAAAUUCCAACAAAUUUUGAAGAUGAAGAUGAGCUGGUGCAGCAACCCACAAUAACCCAAAUCGCCACAGGUAGUGUUCAAAGUACAACGACAGCUAUAGAACCUAAAGAUUGGCCUCAUCGUGUUCGACGGAGGCUUACAUGGAUGAGUGACUAUGAAGUAACAGGAGUUGAUCAAUAUGAAGAUCCACUUACCCAUUUUGCUUUGUUUUCAUAUUGUGAUCCAACAACCGUUGAUGAAGUAGUACAAAAAGAAAAUUGGAGGAUAGCAAUGGAUGAAUAAAUUGCAGCUAUUGAGAGGAAAAACACUUGGGAGUUGACAGAUCUUCCAAAAGGACACAAAACAAUUUGGGUCAAGUGGGUGUACAAGACAAAAUUGAACAAGAGUGGUAAAGUUGAGAAGUAUAAGGCACGCUUGGUGGCGAAAGGCUACAAGCAAGAAUUUGGAGUGGAUUAAAGAGAAGUAUUUGCACCUGUAGCAAGACUUGACACAAUCAGAUUGGUAAUUGCAUUAGCAGCACAAAAUUUAUGGCCUAUCUUCCAAUUGGAUGUGAAGUCAGCAUUCUUGCAUAGUGAUUUUCAAGAAAAGGUAUUUGUUGAUCAACCUUCUGGUUAUGUGAAGCUCGGUAGUGAACAUAAAGUUUAUAGAUUAAAAAAGGCACUAUAUGAGUUAAAACAAGCUCCCCGAGUUUGGUAUAAUCGCAUUGAUGCCUAUUUUUUUAAGAAAGAUUUUACAAAAUGUCCAUAUAAGCAUACACUCUUUAUUAAAAUUAGUGAUGGUGGAAAGUUGCUUCUUGUAUGCUUCUAUGUGGAUGAUCUUAUUUUUACUGGGAAUGAUAGUGUCAUGUUUGACAAAUUCAAGGAGUCUAUGAUUGAUGAAUUUGAGAUGAUUGAUCUUGGAUUGAUGCAUUAUUUUCUAGGCAUAGAAGUAAUUCAAUCUGCAGUUGGAAUCUUAAUGUCUCAAAAGAAGUAUGUUCAAGAGAUUUUGGACAGGUUUCAAAUGAAUAAUUGUAACCCGUGACUACUCCAACUGAAGUUGGAUUGAAGCUCUUGAAAAAUCCUAAUGGAAGUAAGGUGGAUAGCACUCUCUACAAGCAAAUUGUUGGAAGCCUGAUGUAUUUGAUAAUGACAAGACCAGAUAUCAUGCAUGCCAUGAGCCUUAUAAGCAGGUAUAUGGAGCACCCAACAGAGUUACAUCUACAAGCUACAAAAAUGAUUUUUCGCUAUUUGCAAGGAACUAAAAAUUUUGGGUUGUUCUAUAAAAAUGGGGAAAAGUCAGAUUUGUUUGGAUUUACAUAUAGCGAUUAUGCUAGAGAUGUUGAUGAUAGAAGAAGUACUUCAUAGUAUGUCUUUAUGCUUGGUUUAGGGGUGGUUUCAUGGUCUUCAAAGAAGUAAUCAAUUAUCACUUUAUCAAUAACUGAAGCAGAAUUUGUUGCUACAACUUCAUGCGUCUGUCAAGCCAUAUGGUUACGAAAGAUUUUUGGAGAGCUUCGGUUCAAACAACAAGAAGCAACUAUAAUCUAUUUGUUAACAUCUAAAUUUUGGCGAUCCGGUUAUUCAUUUAUUGUAUUAAAAAUUAGGAGUUAAUUUUAUCUAUAAUAUAUAUAUAUAUAUAUAUAUAUAUUAAUUGCAUAUCAUAUUAAUUUAGGUGCAUUUGUUUUUAAUUUGCAUUUUGUGUAUUUAUUUAUUGGACCAGUGCAGAUGGGUUGUAAUUAGUGUAUCUAAGCUUUAAUUUAGCAGGCCGGUAAGCUCAUGAAGCGAGCAAGAUUGGCCUAAGAAUUACUAGGAAUUUGAAAUUUUUCUAGGAUAUGAUGAAUUUUUUAGAUAGGGCAAAUAUGCAAAGUAAAUAUUGUGUUUAAAAAAGAAUUUUUGUGGAUAUGAAUUUAGAAAAAAUUUAAAUUUAAAUUUUUGGUUUAUAAAUAAGUUAUUUGGUUGGGUUUCAAGAAAAAGGCCACACAAUAGAGACAUUCGGCCACGUUGAAGGGAAAAAUUCAAGGAGAAAAACGUGAGAGAGGUUUUCCUUCGAUUCUUUGAGGGUCAAGAGAAAAGCAAAGUGAAAACGUGCAAAAAGGAAAAAGCAGAAGCAAAAAGUAUAAACAGGGGAGGCUUGAAGGGACAGCUACUGUUCACUGUCUUCUUCUUCCCCUGUUGCUCGCGUUCGGCGCACCAGCGGUCGGAAUACCACACCACCGGACGACCCGCGGCCUCCGACCCGUUCCUGCUCCAGGUUCCCGUCACACCAGCCUCGCCUGAAGCCACCACCGCGCGCUUCUAGCCCCCUGACGCCGCAGCAGCCACGAGUUUCCCCUGCUGAGCUUCCACCCUCCGAUCGAUCGCGCCUUUGCUCGACCACUGCAUCUCGUCGGAACUCUCGCCCGCGAGCCCGCGCCCCUGCACCGCGCCGCUCCACCAGCUGCCGCGCUCUGCUUCUCCCCUGCUCCCGCUCCGACUGACCCGCGACGCCCUUGGACGCCGAGCUUCUUCACGCCCAGUCGACGCCGCGACCCGACGACCCGCGAUCCGCGCUCCAGCUCCGUCGCCCCUGCGAAACUGCUGCUGCUUGCGACGCCGCCGCUGCUCUGCUCCGACCAGCGACUGAGGCCUCUGCCCUGCCACCAGAUCCGAAGCUCGAGCGACUCGCCUGCUGCCCGAGCCUUUCGCCGGCGCCGUGCCUGCAACCCUCCGACUCGACGCCCCUGCCUUUGCUGUUGAUCUGUCCGGCUGCCUCUCCGAGCGAGCUAGUCACAGCAACUCUCUCCCUGCCGCCUGCUGCCGUCCCUCGCCGGAGUCCCCGUGUCGGAGCUCCGACAACCGUGACCGGCGACUGACGGUAACCAACCACAAGCCGCACGGGCCCAAGCCUUGCUUGGAAGGAAAAGAGGAAAAAAAAAGAAAAAUCAAUUUAGGUAGUUUUUCCCUUUAUUUAUUUAUCUUCUAUUAUUAUUUUUGUUAUUUUACUUUAUUUUUUCUUUUUUAGUACAAUUAUUCCUUGAUGCAAUUAUGAAUUGUCCGACAUGAAAUAGCCUGUGAAAUUUGUGAUUGUCAGUCCGACUUUCGCGUCCGAAAUCCAACUUGUAAUUACUUAAAAAAAAAAUCGCUAAUUCGAUUUUCCACCCGAGAUUCAAUUAGCAAUUUAUGUAAAAUUGACCAACCCGAUCUCAUGUGCGAGAUAUGGUUUGUCAAUGUGAAUAUCAUCUUGCACUGAUUUGAUUUGCUGUCGUGUCGUUUAAGUUAAUUUUGUUUUUGUAAAAAAGAAAUCAUAAAAAUGUAGGUCGGAAUUAGGUUUAUUUCAUGUUUAAGGGUUUGCAUAUUUAGGAAUUAAAAAAUAAAAAAAAUCAAAAAUCAAAUCAAUUAAUUAAGGUUGCUAGUUUUUUUUUAACUUGGAUUACAUGUUUAAUUAUUUGGCAAUCAUUAAUUUCGAAAAUUAAAAAAAAAAGUAAAAAAGUAAAAAAUAAAAAAUCAUCAUGCAUAUGUCAUAUAGAAUUAGGGUAUCUUUUGCACGUUAUUGCAUAUUAGGGUAAGAUUGCAUGUUUAAUUUUACUUUCUAACUAAUUUUAAGUUUAGAUAGAUUUUUUAGAUAGAUUGCAUUUUAGGAUUAUCUGGAUUAAGAUAAUAUUUUAGUUUAAAUUAGGAUUUGACUCAACCUAAUUCCUAAUAUAAAUUGAAUAGGAUCUUAAUCUAGCUAGGUAAUUUUCACAUUUUACCUAAUUUCGAAUUUCAUAAAAAAAAAAUGUCUUAGAAUAAAUUAGUUUUAUUCUCUAGGAUAGAUUGCAUUCUUUUAGGAAAAAGAAAAAGAAAAAAGAAAAAUGUCAUAUGCACGUCAUUAGGAUUAGAUUCAUUGAAAUGCAUGUCAUAUAGUAGUUGUUGCUAGGUCCAUUCAAUUAGAAUUUACACGUCAUUAGAAUUAGGUCAUUUAGUUAAUAUUGCAUCGUAUAUUGCAUAAUUUUCAUUGAAUAAGUGAAAGAAAAUUGCGUGUUAAUUAUAAAUCAUAUUUAGGAUUGUUGAUGUGAAUUAUAAUUUAACAUUGCAGAUACUUUCGUUACUUUGAAGUAAGUUUUGCAAUUUAUUCAUUAUUAAUCUGGGUGUUAAAUUGGUGGAUUGCGCACCCGCAUGAUCGCUUCACAUAUUAGGAAAAUAGAUUUAAAAUCAAUUAAAGCUGCUUGCAAAAGCAUUUUUUAAAAUAAAAGAAUGGUACUGAAAUGGCAUUAGAGAAAUUUAGUGUAACUAAGUCCCCGUACCCAUAAUCUCUGGUUUGUAGGAGUAAGGUAAAACUUCCGUUACUUUACUUAGGUUUCUAAUCGACCCACCAAAAAAUAGAUUAGUAGCAACUCCAAGAUAAAAUAUAUAUGCAUGUUAAGAAUCUGAACAUAAAUUGCAAAUUGGUAUGAGCUUAUGAGAGCCCGAGUUAAGUCCAGGCUUAACAAUCCAUUAGCCAAACCCUAAGUGGUUCACAUUCGAAAAUUUGGUUGCGACACUAUUGUGACAACAGCUCAGCAAUCAAGCUAUCCAAAAAUCCAGUUCUACAUGGGAGGAGCAAUGAUAUAGAUGUGAAGUAUCACUUCUUAAGAGAUCUUACAAAGGAUAAUUGAGCUCAUUUUCUGUAGAAAUGAAGAUUAAGUGGCUGAUAUAUUCACCAAGCCCUUAAAGUUGCCCAUGUUUCAGAAGCUAAGAUAGCUCAUUGGUGUCCGUUUGUUGGAUAUUCCAAAUUGAGAUAAGGUCCUUUAAACCGAUGUUGCAUACAAUCAGUUUAUGGGAAGGAAUAUUGAAUGAGUCAAUUUCUUUUUAAUUUUUUUUAUGUGUUAAUAGUCUAUUAAGUACUCAUAUUAUGUGGGUUUGUCGUUGUACCUGUUAAGUUAGUGGGUUGUGGUAGUUACCUGUUGGCGUAAAGCCUAUAUAAAGGCUAUGGUGUUAGUUUUAUAAAUGUUUUUUUGUAUACAAUCAUUCUUCCUUCGAGUAUAUCUUUCAAUCUUCUAUUUUCAACGGUAGCUCUUUCCGAACCAGAAUCAUGUAUCAUCAAGUAGGCACGGUUUUAUUCAUUUCGGCAAGUGGAUUAAUGGCUGCCGGAGUUCUUGGCCAGCGGUGUAUGUGCCAUUGGUUUGGGUGAGCUUUCGAUGAGGAAGCAAGGUCUCGGUGAAGGAGAAGCAUCGGGGAAGAAGAAGUCCAAGGGGGAAGAGGGUUCGAGCGAGGGCAGAGAGGGAGAGAGAGAGAGGCUCUGGUGGCCACUGUGCCGUGCACAAAUUUGGUCCGACGACCACGCCUAGCCGACGUCCUCAAGCCUCACAGUGAAGGAACCUAGCUUUUCGCUUUGGGAAGAGCUCGAAGAGGAAGACGAGACCGCAAAUCCGAAAAGCUCUUUGCUUUCUGAUCGAAGCUCGACAAGCGCUCGUGCCCAAGAUCGCUCGCAAAGAUCCGAAGUCGAAGACGUGGGAGGUGCAACUGACGGUGGUGGUUCGAAGCAGGUGAGGGCAUGCUUUCUAGGGGGCUGCGAUGGACAAUGGGAGCAAGACAGAAUGAGAGGAAAAGAGGGAAGCUUUAUUAUGCUUUCAAUGGCGAUUCUAACGCUCAAAGGCAAGAGCAUACGAGACUAAAGCAAAAAGCGAAUGUCUGCUUUGCUCUCCGAACUUUUCGACCCCUCCAUCGGACAGCUUCAACCCAUCAAACCUCCAUUUUUGCUAGCAUUUCGCAGUGGAGGCAAAUUCGUCUCGACCCUUGAAACUAUACGGGGCGAUGCUGCCCAUGCUCGCAUUCUGAGGUUCUCCUGCUGAUGAGCUUGAACCCUCACGAAUCGCUCAACAUUGACCCACGAGAGGAGGCCGUGCUUUUGUUGUUCGGGUCUCGCGCGCAGGCCCCGAGCCGGAGCUUGUUCGCUUGUCUGGGGUUCGACUGCACGAAUUGGAUGCAAGGGAACCAUAUGCUUCAUCGGCUCGUGUCAAUCGUGGCGAAGGAGCUCCUGAACGGCCAGCGGGUGGUGGUGGUGGUUCGGUGAUGGAGGUUCCCAGCCUACUGUCAAAGAAGAAUCAUCUGCGUUUCCUGCUGUUCCAGGAGGAAAACCGCAGCUAAGUCCUCUCUGCCUUCUUUGGUUUUCGAGUUUUGUCCAAUCAUUAAGACAUACCACCCUCCACUCUAUUUACACGAUCGCUUGAAUUAUGGCUAUUCAUCAUAAAAUGACGGUCCCACAGGCUAUAAGUGUUUGUCGUUUCGUUUCUCUUUUGUCGUUCUCCACUUAAUUUUAGUGUUAAUACUUUGAAAAACUCUAAAUUAAUACUUCAAUGAUAAAUUAAAUUCAAAUUAAUUUUUUAACUACGAAAAAUUCUAAACUGAUACACAUGUAAUAAAUUUACCUCAAAUUAUCACAAAAACCCUCAUACACGUGAUAAAUUUAUGUUGCGAUCUAAAUUUUGAGUGCUCUCUCAAAUCCAUAUCAAUUCGAGACUUAGGUUCAAAUAGUUAGCAUGCAAAUUAUUUUUCAAUUAGGAGUCGCCAUUAAUUUAUUUUUAGUGAGUCAAUUAGAAAUCCAAGUAAAGUAACGGGAGAUUUACUGUACUCCUGCAAAUCAGAGUUUGUGAAUUCGGGAACUUGCUUAUGCUAAAUUUCCCUAACGCCAUUUUAGUACAUUUUUCUUUUAUUUCGAAAAAAUGUUUUGCAAGCAGCUUGAAUGUAAAUGUGCAAACCACCAAUUUAACAUCUAAAAAAGUAAUAAAUAAAUUACGAGACUUACCUCAUAGCAAUAAAAGUAUAUGUAAUGUUAGCUCAGAAUUUAUAUCAACAAUUCUAGAUAUGAUUUCUAAUUAAUCACUCCAAAUUUUUAGGAUUUUCUCUUGUUUAAAGAAAUUUAAGUUAUAUGUCAUACAAUUUAACCAAAUGACCUAAUUCUAAUGAUGGACAAUUUAUAAUUAAACGGACCUAGCAACAGUCAUUAAAUGACAUGUAUGAUAUUUUUUGCAUUAUUUUUUAAAAAAUCGAAAUUAAAAUUGCUAAAAUAUAAAAAUCUAACUACAAUGAGAUAUUAUCUAUUUUAAGUUAGGAAAUAGACCAAUUCGAAUCCUAUCUUAACUUAGAAAUUUAUCUCGACAUGCAAUUUAAUUCAAAGAUAUUAUCUAACCUAGACACCAUCUAAACAUGCAUUUUAAUAUAAUUAGAAAAGAAUCUAAUUAUUCAAUCAUGAAAUCAAUUCUAAUUUACAUGACAUGCAAAUGCAAUUUUUUGUAUUUUUUGGAUAGAUAAAUCAAUUAAAAGAUAAGUACCAAAUCAUUCGCGGUCAUCAAAAAUAUUAUCCAUUUCCAAUACCUAAUCAAACUUAAUUAUUUCGCCGAUAAAUUGAUCUUAAGCCUUAAAGAUCAAAAUAUCAAUUUUAUUCCCGCAAUAUUAAUUAUUUCAUCUAAAGCCCUAUAGAUGGUAUAUAAAUUGGCGUGCGGUUGCAGAUUGGGCAAUAAAUCGUAAUUGGAAAUACUCCAAUAAUUCAAAUAUACACAUAAGAUAUUGAAAAGCAUGCAUUAGGCAAUAAAAUAUCCAAAUUAAAUCUAGAUAAAAUAAUUACCUAAUUUCGCAAAUAAUGUUACCAAAUUUGAACCGAACGGAAGGAGUUAACGGUUGACGGCAGCGGAUGGUAGUGCUUGGCUAAAUGCGGGGGAUGGGCAACCAUUGGCGGUGGGACGUUGUCAUUCGGAGCUCCAGCAAGGGGCAGCAAGCGCGGACCAGCAGAGGGCACACGGCAGCAAAGGGGCAGUGCUCAGGCGACCUGGCAGAGCAGAAACAGCGGCGGCCGGCGUGGAGGGCGGCAGGCGGAGGCACGGCGGAGGAGAGCUGGUGCAGGCGCGGUGGUCCCCGGGCGGAGCCGCUGCGAGAAAGGCGGACGACGGACGCCAGCGGCAGGCGGGUCGCGGGCCGACGCGGGCUGCAGGCGAGGCGGACGGCGGACGCAGCGACGAGCGAGCGGGAGGAGACGUCGGGUCGUCGCGGGCGGAGCAGCGGUGACCGGCGAGGGAGCGAUGGCUUCGCGGGGGACGAGCGGGCGAAGGCGUCGGGCGCGGUGGCUGGUGCAGGCGCGGUGCGGCGAGGACAGGGAGCGCGGACGGACGGGCUGGCGGCUGCUGGCGUCGUACGGAGGCUCGGCUGCAGGUCGGGCGGAGCGGGAGCAGCGAGGCAGCUCGCGGAGCGGCGGUAACGCUGCGAACAGGGACUGAGCUUCGGCUGAUGGGCGGCGACCGGCACGGGGGGAACGAGCGGUGGUGCUGGUGUGGCAACGACACGGCGUCCGGCGGACAGAGGCGCUGGGACAGGGGCGACGACGACGGAGGCGAGCUGCUGUGGCGUCGCAGCAGCGGCGGAGCAAGGGGGCGGCGAGGAGCUCGGCUGCUGGCGUCGUUGGCGCUCGGGCGGAAAGCAGAGGUAGCGACGGCGAGCUGCUGGUGGUCGCUCAGGCGAGGGGACCCCCGGACGGCUGCAGGGGCUCGGCGAGGAGCUGCUGCACGAGGAAGAAGAAGACCUUUUGUUCUUUUGUUCUUUUUUUAUUUUUCCUGCUCUGCUGCACGUCCCUCUCUCUCACGUUCCUUCUCUCUGUCUCCGUACCUUUCUGCCCUCUUUCAGCAAAAGUAGAAGACAAAAAGAACUUUAAAAAAAAAAAAAUGAAAAUCCAGAAGAAAAACCCCUAUGAAGUGAUCCCCAAAAAAAACGAUUUUUUUUUUCCCUUUUGUCUUGAGUUUUUGACCUAGAAACCGAGAGAAAAACCCCCCGUUUUCUUCAUGAAUUGUGGCCGUGUGUUUCUAUGGCGUGUCCCUCCCACUUUCUGUAGUGUAGCUACCUUUUUAUAAGUGAGUAUACUAGGGUUUUAAAUUAACAUCCAUGAAGAUUUCUUCUUAACACAAUAUUUCACCGAUUUUAUCACAUAUUGAUAAGGAUCCAAGAUUUUUCCAAAUUUUGAAUCUUGCAAAGAUAAGCUCGCAAUAUAUUUUGUCACACCUAUCCUAUUCGAUGAUAUUGAAAAAUCCCCAUCAUAUUCUGGAAAAAUUCAAAUCUCUCUUUUCUCACAGUGUAAUUUUUUUAUUAUUGAAAAAAUGAGCUUGGGCUAAUUUGUUCUCUUCAUGGGUUUAGUCCACCCUGUCAAUUUAGAGCUCAGAGCUACCAAUUCAAACCCAUCUGUCAUAAAUGCACAUAAAAUUAUAUGUUAUGUAAUUUGAUUUUUUUUAGGGGUUAAAAAUUAAUCCAUAAUUUUUAUAAAAUAGAUAAAUAAUUGAAUCGCCAAAAUUUAGGUAUCAACAAUUUACCAAAAACUAAUUUGUUUAACUGUAAAAAAAACCCUAAACUAAUAUAUUUGUGAUAAAUAUAUCAUCCGUUAAAUUGGAUUAAUGUCACAGAAGACCAUAAAAAUGGUACGAAUAUGACAUACAAAGUAAAAUCUCAAAUAAGUAUAUCGGUCAAUUGGUAGAUGUCAUCCAAUUCAGUAAUUUGACAAUAAAAUUUAAUAAAAACUAAUAUAAGGUAAAUUUAUUAUAAAUGUAUCAAUUUAGAGUAAAUUUGUCAAACGUAUAUUAGUUUAGGGUUUUUGAUAGUUAAAAAAUUAAUUUAAAGUAAAUUUAUUAUGUGUAUAUUAUUUUAUUAAUGUGCAAACUCAGCCGUCUAUCAUAUUAACCCUUAAUUUUAUUAUGUUUGUAGGUGGGCAAUCUUUUUCAAGUCAUUUUUCAAUUCCAAUCAGUUGGCACAUUUCUCCUACUAGUCAAAUCAUACUAAGUUCCAAUCACAUUGAAACAAUCAUAAUCUGUUGAAUAGCAAAUAUCCCAAAAUAAAAUGAUUUAAUAGCACAAAAAAUUUCAAAUUAGUUAAUUUGCAAUCAAUUUAUCAUAAAUUAAAUUUUUUUGCUAGCAAAAACCCUAGAUAGAUACAAUUGUGAUAAAUUUAUCUUACCAAAAAUUUUAAAAUAGUAUAUUUAUAACAAAUUUUCUUUUCAUUAUUUUCUAUUAUAUUGGAUUAAUACCACAAAAAAAAAAAUAAUCUCAAAUUGGUACACAAACAAAAGGCAAAAUCUCAAAUUAAUACAUUCGUCAAUUAUCACGUGUAAUCUAAUUUAGAAAUUUGAUGAUAAAAAUUAAUAAACAAUAAAUUUGUUACACGUAUACUAGUUGAGAAUUUAUGAUGGUGAAAAAAUUAAUUUUAAUCAAAUUUAUUACAAUCAUAUCGAUUUAGGACUUUCGUGAUAUUGACUCGAUAAAAUUAUUGCGAAAGAACAUGUUUUGGCUGUGGAUUCGCAAGCAAUGAAUCUGCAUGCAUUGACCUUGGAUAAUGAUCUGACCGGCGCAGGGACCGCAUGAUAAUAUACUUAAAUCAAAUUAGAUUAAAAAAGAGAGGAAUUUUUAAUUUGUUUUACUCUUUUCAUUUUUGGAAUUUUAAUCGAGGACGUCAAACUCCCUCCCGAACCUCGGUUAUAAGAGGGAGAACAGUCGAAGCUCUCGACGGAAGGAGAUGAAGACGAGGGAGACCUAGCCGGAGCGCAAACGCCUCCACCCCGAAAAGAACCGGCGACCGCGUCAAUCUCUCCAUCUCCGGAGCGGCAAGGUCUGUUGUUUUUCUCCCAUUCGCCUUCACUUCGGUGGUUUUCUUCUUUUUUAUUCUUUUUCUCUUUUGGGUUCGGAUUCGUGGUUUGAUGCUGUAAUGUCGAUCGGUGUCGAAUUCGGUUCGAGCUGAUACAAGGGUUUUGUUGGAGGGUUUCCUUUCCUUUCCUUUUCUUUUUUUCCCUUUUUGUUGAUGCGAUUAUGUGGGAAUUCGAGGGUGACUUCGAGUGUUGACUUGAUGAUGAGCUUUUCAAGAUAUUGGAUUCGAUGCUGCUUUCAAUGGCUUAGAGUCUGGUUGUAACUGAAUUAAGAAUUACGCUACUGGGAACUUGAUGGGUGUGGGCUUUCUUGGCUUUGAAGAAGAUGAUGAGUCCGUUUUGCUUGUAUUACAGAGGCCUAAUGCUUGCAGAGUGUCACUGGGCCCCCUUGUUUUGGCCUCUUUUAGAAUUUUUCGGGUGCGAAUGUUCAGGUGUGAUUGUGUAAUUCUAUUUUUGGUUUGGGGAUUCGGCUGUCCUUAGCCUUUUAUGACAAAGAUCUGUCAUCCGUGCAUGUUUGUAGUGUUCUGUCAUAAUUUGACUUGUACGGCAUAUCUCCUUGGUCCAUAGGACUUGUGUGUUUAUCCUCUUUUUAGCUGACGGUAUCAUCAGUUGAUUUGAUUGACCUGUUGCCGAUAUUUCUUCUUAUGGUAUCUUUGCUUAUGAGAUUUUUCUUCACCUAUAUGUCGUGAGUAUCGGGCCAGUCAUCUGGGUAAUUGUACUUGAGCUGUGACUUAACUUUGUUGCUCGAUGCUGGUUUUAGAUGUCACUGGUCUUCAAUGACCAGUAAACUGAUUGCUUCAUACUUUUUCGUGGGUUUGAUAGUGCAGGGAUCCUUCAUUGCAUUUAAACCUUAGCAAAGAAAGUUCUCAAGCCAAAUAAAUAAAUUAUGUCUGACUUAUUUGCUAUGUAAGCGAACCCGAAAUAUUGAUGUUAAUCUAGUCUAUCUGCAACCAGUCCUAAUAUACAGCUCAUAGCAACACGUGGUACCUCACCAUAUGCGGAAAAGCUUGGCCAAAAUGAAAUAGGCAAACUAAGAAUCAAAUUUUUGGGCAAGCAUUUUGGCCUAUAACAUGGCACCAUGAGUUGUUAUGGCCUAUGUGUGAGGAUUAACUACAUCAACAUUCUCAGUCCCUUGGAAUGAAAAAAGACACAAAAAUCAAGUGAAAAAUACUCGUUAAUUCUGAUCUGACAAGAGGGAUCAUAUCUUGGUUUGUACGAGGCCCAAGAGUGCCAGUGUAUAUUUGGGGAAUGCAAUCGUCUUGCUAUAUCUGGCAAACUUCAAUAUGUUAUCUCUUUUUUCUUUAAGUGGAACCAUACAACUUUAGAUGAGGAAAUGAAAUAAGCCAUAAAGAUUUCCUGGUAUAGGCUUAGUCUUACACUGGUAUCCUACAGUGUACCUUUAGCUAUGCAGCCAUCACUCACUUAGGGUAUUUGACUCACUUGGUUGUUUCUUUUGCUACAGAUGAGCACGCGUGAUUCAGAACAUGGACAUAUCAUUGAAGUGUGUGGAGAUGAGCCAGCCAUGGAAAUAAGCCAGGUUGGUAGUAAGGUGUGCGCAGAGGCACCUUGUGAUUUUUCAGACGCUAGAAAUAGUUCGAAAGAUGCAAGAGAGAGGUCAACCUCUAUGAAGAAAUUUUUGAUUGCGGUUGUGCUUUGUAUUAUCUUCAUGAGCGUAGAAGUAGUUGGUGGUAUUGAAGCCAACAGUCUUGCCAUUCUCACAGAUGCAGCGCAUCUGCUGUCGGAUGUUGCCGCAUUUGCAAUAUCCUUAUUCUCUCUUUGGGCAUCAAGUUGGGAGGCAACUCCACGCCAGUCUUAUGGUUUCUUCCGAAUUGAAAUUCUUGGUGCACUUGUCUCCAUCCAGAUUAUAUGGCUACUUGCUGGGAUUCUCGUGUAUGAAGCAAUGGAAAGACUUAUCAACGGUACAACUGAAGUUCAUGGCUUUCUCAUGUUCAUUGUUGCUGCCUUUGGUCUUCUUGUGAAUAUUGCCAUGGCACUGUUACUGGGUCACGAUCACAGCCAUGGUCAUGGACAUAGUCAUGGGCAUGAUGAUGCGCAUGAACACAGUGCUCAUGCUCAUAGCAACGAGGAUGAUGGUGAUUUGCAUACUCAUGGAUUAACCAUCAGGAAACAUGACCAUCAUCAUCAUGGAGAAGAUUCUAAAGGACAUCCCGAUCAACAUCAUGACCAUGAAACAGGUCAAACUGAGCCGCUUUUGCAGACUUGCUCGGAAGCUGAAGGUAACUCAAAACCUGGAACCAAAGAGAAGAAGCAACGUAAUGUUAACAUACAAGGUGCUUAUCUUCAUGUACUUGGGGAUUCCAUUCAAAGUGUGGGUGUGAUGAUUGGGGGUGCAAUUAUAUGGAUUAAGCCCGAGUGGAAAAUUGUCGACUUGAUUUGCACACUGAUAUUCUCAGUAAUUGUGCUUUGGACAACAAUAAGGAUGCUCCGUAACAUUCUAGAGGUUUUGAUGGAGAGUACGCCUAGAGAGAUUGAUGCCACUAGGCUCGAGAGUGGACUUCGCGAGAUGGAUGAAGUGAUUGCAGUCCAUGAACUACACAUUUGGGCUAUAACGGUUGGAAAGGUGCUUUUAGCUUGCCAUGUCAAAAUAAAGCAUGACGCCAAUGCAGAUAUGGUUCUGGACAAGGUCGUGGACUACAUCAGAAGAGAGUACAAGAUAAGUCACGUCACCAUUCAAGUAGAAAGAGAGUAGAUUUCGAAAGGUAAACGAUUUGGUUAUGGCAUCAUACAUGGAUGAUAAUGUUAGGGUCACAUUUUAGCUUCUAAUUUAUUUGGAUGUUGCCGUUUCGGCCUUUUUCUCUUAGCUGGGCCUAUGAUGUAAUGUGCGCUUCUCCUUUGUUAGGAUCUUAUGUUUAAGAGCUCUUUUAUCCAAUAAUACCAGUUUCUCCAACAAAAAGAUAAUAAUAAAAAAAAAAACACUGGAAAAGUCGGGAAACAACUUCUCAAGAACAAUUUUCCUUCAAAUAAGUGGACCGUAUAUGUAGAUGAAGAGAGUGCAAAUCCCGUAGACAGGCGACGUGGCAACAUACGGGAUGCCAAACACCCCGAAGGGUCCCUAUCGAGAAGCCAUUCCUCGCUUGUGGGCUCGUAGCUCGAUUUUGCUUGAAGCAAGAGGCAGCUGGAACAGGGAAAAAGAAAGCGAAAGGUAUUCGAGGCCCAGGAAAGCGACAAAUGGGUUGUAUUGGGAGCCCAUUUGGCGUCGAGUUCGGGAUUGCACGUGAGCACAGUUGUACUUGUUAGGUCACAUCUCAUUUUAUAUUAGACCGAUAACCGUCUUGAUACGACGAUUUACCCCGACCCAUCACAAAUUGCGUAUGAAACUACGGUAUUUUGCCCGCACCCGACAGCCGCGAGGGAGCAAUUAUGUAGGUUCUAUCGUGGGAAUGGGCUGAGCCAUUGGGGCCUCUAGAGAAGAGAUCCAACCCAACAUUUCUCCAUAUUGAACUUUAAGGGCCUCCGUUCAAUUCGUGAUGAUCAUGUGAUUUGUAAAAGUGGCAGUAUUAAUUUUUUUUUCUUAUGAAACAGAAUUAGCAUCAAAUUUAUAUGUCGUAUAAUUUGUAUAAAAAAAUAUUGUCAAUGCCUAAAAUUUUCCCUUUCCAUAAAAAAUUAGAGAUUAGUUUCUAAAAAAAAGAAAAGUAAAAUGAAUAAUUUUCAUUAAAAUGCACCGUGCAUGUUUUCAUUAAAAUGCAUUGUGUAUAUUUUCAUUAAAAUGCAUUGCACAUAGACAUUAGGACCAUUUACAUUACUAUCAUUAAUUAUUAAUUUAAAAAAAAAUCAAUAAAAAAUCAAGAAUUAAAAAAAAAAAAGGACCGGGCUAGGCUCGGUCCUUUUCUGUUCUUCUCUCCUCUGUAUCUCUUUUCUCCUGGGCCCAAGCCCAACCUCAUUUCCUUUCUCCAGGCCUAGCGGCGCGUGGGUUUUCUUCCUCCAUACGCCGUCACGCCUCUGCAAGGAAAUGAGGAGUACAACAAGUCAGAGAGAGGCAGAGGAUCGCGAGCUGCGGAUGGCGGCCUGAUCUGCGGGUCGGGGUCAGGCCGGCCAGCGAGCUGGCGGUGGCAGAAGCCAAGCCCGCCGGUUGCUGGCCGUUAAAAGCAGAGAGGCCGAGAGAAAGAGAGGGGGUUGUUGGCCAAGAGAGGGAGCGACAGGCAGAGGGCGAGCUCGUGAGAGUCCCGGACCGUCGCCGGAGGCCCGCCGUUCGUCGGAGCAGCUCUUUCCGAACCAGAAUCGUGUAUCAUCGAGUAGGCGCGGUUUUAUUCGUUCCGGCAAGUGGAUUAAUGGCCGCCGAAGUUCAUGGCCGGCGGUGUAUGUGCCGUUGGUUUGGGUGAGCUUUCGAUGAGGAAGCAAGGUCUCGGUGAAGGAGAAGCAUCGGGGAAGAGGGUUCGAGCGAGGGCAGAAAGGGAGAGAGAGAGAGAGAGGCUCCGGUGGCCACCGCGCCGCGCACGAAUUCCGUCCGACGACCAGGCCCAGCCGACGUCCUCAAGCCUAGCGGUGAAGGAACCCGGCUUUUCGCUUUGGGCAGAGGUCGAAGAGGAAGACGAGACCGCAAAUCCGGAAAGCUCUUCGCUUUCUGAUCGAACCUCGACACGCGCUCGUGCCCAAGAUCGCUCGCAAAGAUCCGGAGUCGAAGACGUAGGAGGCGCGACGGAUGGUGGUGGUUCGAAGCAGGUGAGGGCGAGCUUUCUAGGGGGCUGCGGUGGUUCUUCGGACAGGGGGAUUCUACUUCUUCUUCUUCUUCUUCGGCUAAAAAGGAAACGGAGAGAACAAUGGGAGAAGGAGAGAAUGAGAGGAAAAGAGGGAGACUUUAUGCUUUCAAUGGCGAUUCCAACGCUCCAAGGCAAGAGCACCCGAGACUAAAGCGAAAAGGGAAUGUCUGCUCUGCUCUCCGAACUUUUCGAUCCCUCCAUCGGACAGCUUCAACCCAUGAAACCUCCAUUUUUGCUAGCGUUUCCCAGUGGGGACAAAUUCGUCUCGACCCGUGAAACUACACUGAGCGAUGCCGCCCGUGCUCGCGUUCUCGGGGUACUCCUGCUGAUGAGCUUGAACCCUCACGAAUCGCUCGACAUUGACCCACGAGACGAGGCCGUGCUUUUGCUGUUCGGGUCUCGCGCGCCGGCCCCGGAGCCAGAGCUUGUUGCGCUUGAUUGGGGUUCGACUGCACGAACUGGAUGCAAGGCAACCAUAUGCUCCGCCGGCUCGUCUCAAUGUGGCGAAGGAGCUCCUGAACGGCCAGCGGGUGGUGGUGGCGGUCCAGUGAUGGAGGUUCCCGGCCUGCUGUCGAAGAAGAAUCAUCUGCGUUUCCUGCUGUUCCAGCAGGAGAACCGCAGCUAAGUCCUCUCUGCCCUCUUUGGUUUUCGAGUUUUGUACAAUUAUAACACAUACCACCCUCGACUCUAUUCAUCAUAAAAUGACGGUCCCAUAGGCCAUAGUGUUUGUCGUUUUGUUUCUCUUUCGUCGUUCUCUACUUAAUUUUAGUGUUAAUGCUUAGAAAAAUUCCAAAUUGAUGCUUCAAUUAUAAAUUUAUCUUAAACUAAUUUUUUAUCAUAAAAAAUCCUAAACUGGUACGUAAUGAAUUUACUCCAAAUAAUCAUAAAAACCCUCAAACUGAUACAUUUAUGAUAAAUAUAUCAUCCGUUAAAUUGGAUUAAUGCCACGGAAAACCAUAAAAAAUGGUACAAAUAUGACAUACAAAGUAAAAUCCCAAAUAAGUAUAUCGAUCAAUUGUUAGAUGUCAUCCAAUUUAGUAAUUUGACAGCAAAAUUUAAUAAAAACUAAAGUAAAUUUAUUAUAAAUGUAUCAAUUUAGAGUAAAUUUGUCAAACGUAUACUAAUUUAAGGUUUUUGGUAGUUAAAAAAUUAGUUUGAGAUAAAUUUAUUAUGUGUAUAUUAGUUAAUUAAUGUGCCAACUCAGUCGUUUGUCGUAUUAAUCCUUAAUUUUAUUAUGUUUCUAGGUGGGCAAUCUUUUUCAUGUCAUUUUUCAAUUCGAACCAAUUGGCACAUUUCUUAAAAAAUUAGUUCGAGACAAAUUUAUUAUGUGUAUAUUAGUCUAUUAAUGUGCCAACUCAGCCGUCUGUCGUAUUAACCCUUAAUUUUAUUAUGUUUCUAGGUGGGCAAUCAUUUUCAUGUCAUUUUUCAAUUCCAACUGAUCGGCACAUUUCUCCUACUAGUCAAAUUAUACUAAGUUUGUCACUCAUUAGUUUAAGAAUGAGGCUCUGCCUCCUGGAGAGGCUCUUAGGGUGUCUUGGCGACCGUUGCCGCCUCUCCGAUCGAUAGCGGAGCUAGUGAUUUCGCCGAUCCACGACAGUGAGCGCGCUCACGCCCUUCGCGGACACGCUCAUCUCUUCCGAAACAGCUGCUCUUUCCAAAAAAAAGAAAAAUCAUACUAAGUUUCAAUCACAUCGAAACAAUCGUAAUAUGUUGAAUAGCAAAUAUCCCAAAAUAAAAUGAUUUAAUAGCACAAAAAACUUCAAAUCAGUUCAUUUGUGAUCAAUUUAUCAUAAAUUAAAUUUUUUGACUAGCCAAAACCCUAAAUAGAUACAAUUGGGACAAAUUUAUCUUACCAAAAAUUUUAAAAUGGCAUAUUUAUAACAAAUUUGCUUUUCAUCAUUUUCUAUUAGAUUGGAUUAAUAUUACGAAAAAAAACCUCAAAUUAAUACAUUCGUCAAUUAUCACAUAUAAUUUAAUUCAUAAAUUUAAUGAUAAAAAUGUAACGAAUAAUAAAUUUGUUACAUUUAUAUUAGUAGGAAUUUAUGAUGAUGAAAAAAUUAAUUUGGAUUAAAUUUAUUACAAUCAUAUGGAUUUAGGACUUUCGUGAUAUUGACUUGAUAAAAAUAUUGCAAAAAAAUAUGUUUUGGUUGUGAGUUGGCAAGCAAUGACUGUGCAUGCAUUAAACUUGGGUAAUGAUCUGACAGGGGCAGGGACCGCAUGAUGAUAUACUUAAACCAAAUUAGAUUUAAAAAGAGAGGAAUUUUUAAUUUGUUUUUGCUCUUUCUAUUUUGGGAAUUUUAAUCGAGGACGCCAAACUCCCUCCCAAACCUCGGUUAUAAGAGGGAGAAGAGUCGAAGCUUGGGACGGAAGGAGAUGAAGACGAGGGAGACCUAGUCGGAGCGCAAACGCCUCCGCCCCGAAAAGCACCGGCGGCCGCGUCGAUCUCUCCAUCUCCGGAGCUCAGUCCGGAGCGGCACGGUCUGUUGUUUUUCUCCCAUUCGCCUUCACUUCGGUGUUUUUUUUUUUUUUUUCCUUUCUUUUAUCUUUUUCUCUUUUGGGUUCGGAUCGUGGUUUGAUGCUGUAAAGAAUUUGGCUCGAGCUGAUAAAAGGGUUUUGUUGGAGGGUUUCUUUUUUUAUUUUAUUUCUUUUUGUUGAUGUGAUUAUGUGGGAAUUCGAGGGUGACUUCGAGUGUUGACUUGAUGAUGAGCUUUUCGAGAUAUUGGAUUCGAUGCAGUGUGCGAGUGAAUUUUGCUGAUUAUGAGCCAGGGGAGCUGCUUUCACUGGCUUAGAGUCUGGUUGUAACUGAAUUAAGAAUUACGCUACUGGGAACUUGAUGGGUGUGGGCUUUCUUGGCUUUGAAGAAGAUGAUGAGUCCGUUUUGCUUGUAUUACAGAGGCCUAAUGCUUGCAGAGUGUCGCUGAGCCUCCUUGUUUUGGCCUCUUUUAGAUUUUUUUGGGUGCGAAUGUUCAGGUGUGAUUGUGUAAUUCUAUUUUUGGUUUGGGGAUUCGGCUGUCCUUAGCCUUUUAUGACAAAGAUCUGUCAUCCGUGCAUGUUUGUAGUGUUCUGUCAUAAGUUGACUUGUAUGGCAUAUCUCCUUGGUCCUUAGGACUUGUGCGUUUAUCCUCCUUUUAGCUGACAGUAUCAUUAGUUGAUUUGAUUGACCUGUUGCCGAUAUUUCUUCUUAUGGUAUCUUUGCUUAUGAGAUUUUUCUUCACCUAUAUGUCGUGAGUAUCGGGCCAGUCAUCUGGGUAAUUGUACUUGAGCUGUGACUUAACUUUGUUGCUCGAUGCUGGUUUUAGAUGUCCCUGGUCUUCAAUGACCAAUAAAUUGAUUGCUUCAUACUUUUUCGUGGGUUUGAUAGGGCAGGGAUCCUUCAUUGCAUUUAAACCUUAGCGAAGAAAGUGUAUUUCUCAGAAAUAAAUAAAUUAUGUCUGGCUUAUUUGCUAUGUAAGCGAACCCGAGAUAUUGAUGUUAGUCUAGUCUAUCUGCAACCGGUCCUAAUAUACAGCUCAUAGCAACACGUGGUGCCUCACCAUCUGCGGAAAAACUUGGCCAAAAUGAAAUAGGCAAACUAAGAAUCAAAGUAGACCAGUAUAUUUCAUUUUUGGGCAAGCAUUUCGGCCUAUAAUGUGGCGCCAUGAGUUGUUAUGGCCUAUGUGUGAGGAUUAACUACAUCAACAUUCUCAGUCCCUUAGAAUGAAAAAGGACACAAAAACCAAGUGAAAAAAACUCGUUAAUUCUGGUCUGAUGGGGGGGAUCAUAUCUUGGGUUGGACAAGGCCCAAGAGUGCCAGUGUAAAUUUGGGGAAUGCAAUCGUCUCACUAUAUCUGGCAAACUUCAAUUUGUCAUCUCUUUUUCCUUUUAGUGGAACCAUCCAAGUUUAGACGAGGAAAUGAAAUCAACCAUAAAGAUUUCUUGGUAUAGGCUUACUCUUACUCUGGUAUCCUUCAGUGUACCUUUAGCUAUGCGGCCAUCACUUUAUUCGACUCACUCGAUUGUUUCUUUUGCUGCAGAUGAGCACGCAUGAUUCUGAACAUGGACACAUCAUUGAAGUGUGUCGAGAUGUGCCAGCCAUGGAAACAAGCCAGGUUGGUAGUAAGGUAUGUGCAGAGGCACCUUGUGGUUUUUCAGACGCUAGAAAUAGUUCGAAAGAUGCAAGAGAGAGGUCAACCUCUAUGAAGAAACUUUUAAUUGCGGUGGUGCUUUGUAUUAUCUUCAUGAGCAUAGAAGUAUUUGGUGGUAUUGAAGCCAACAGUCUUGCCAUUCUCACAGAUGCAGCACAUUUGCUGUCGGAUGUUGCCGCAUAUGCGAUAUCCUUAUUCUCUCUUUGGGCAUCAGGUUGGGAGGCAACUCCACGCCAGUCUUAUGGUUUCUUCCGAAUUGAAAUUCUUGGUGCACUUGUCUCCAUCCAGAUUAUAUGGCUACUUGCUGGGAUUCUUGUGUAUGAAGCAAUAGAAAGACUUAUCAAUGGUACAACGGAAGUUCAUGGCUUUCUCAUGUUCAUUAUUGCUGCCUUUGGUCUUCUUGUGAAUAUUGCCAUGGCACUGUUACUGGGUCACGAUCACGGCCAUGGGCAUGGUCAUGACCAUGGGCAUGAUGAUGCACAUGAACAUAGUGAUCAUGCUCAUAGCCAUGAGGAUCAUGGUGAUUUGCAUACUCAUGGAUUAACCAUCAAGAAACAUGACCAUCAUCAUCAUGGAGAAGAUUCUAAAGGACAUGCUGAUCAACUUCAUGGUCAUGAAACAGAUCAAACUGAGCCUCUUUUGCAGACUUGUUCGGAAGCUGAAGGUGACUCAAAACUUGGAGCCAAACAGAAGCAGCAACGUAAUAUUAACAUGCAAGGUGCUUAUCUUCAUGUACUUGGGGAUUCCAUUCAAAGUGUGGGUGUGAUGAUUGGCGGUGCAAUUAUAUGGAUUAAGCCCGAGUGGAAGAUUGUCGACUUGAUUUGCACCCUGAUAUUCUCGGUAAUUGUGCUUGGGACAACAAUAAGGAUGCUCCGUAACAUUCUGGAGGUUUUGAUGGAGAGUACGCCUAGAGAGAUUGAUGCCACUAGGCUCGAGAGUGGACUUUGCAAGAUGGAUGAAGUGAUUGCAGUCCAUGAAUUGCACAUCUGGGCUAUAACGGUUGGAAAGGUGCUAUUAGCCU